rnacentral:lncRNA from 1 species
CCGACCUCCUCCAUGGCUAGGGGUUGGAGCGCCCCAGCUGCUGCCUCCCUGGUAGCUUUCAUUAAAGGACUUUGCUUUUUUGGUAAAUAAGGGCCCCAUUUUUCUACCUUAGUCUUUGAAAAUCAACCUGAGAAACACUUUGUGUGUCUACAUCUCUUAGGAAGAAGAGAAUAAUGAGAUGAUGUAUGCAGAGCACUGGCAGAAAGCCUAGCAUAGAGGAAUCUGAGGAUUCGCCAUGCAUGCUUCCUGGUAUAUAGUACUAGUUCUUGUCAAUGGCACAGAGACUUGAAGACUGUAUAUAAAUGGACACACCUACUAGAAUGAAUGGAAACCCACACUGCUGUUGUGAAGACACCUGAUGAAACUCCAGCAACUUCUACAUCUGGCCUGCUGCUUAGUCCUGGGACCUGAGGUCAAAAUCUUAGAAAAGAGCCAUGUGAGAUGCAUUCCCUGGCCUCAUCUCUGUUCUUGGAUGCUGUCAGCAACACUCCUUGAGUUUUUACCCACAUAAUAACACUUUCCUCAGCAUGGAUGUGGAGGUGGGGGUGAGGAAUGUUCUAUUUUUCCUUCGAUGGUUACGCCCUCACCCUACCAACUCAGUAAAAGGGGAGUGGUCAGGGG